rnacentral:rRNA from 1 species
UACGUAGGGCGCGAGCGUUGUCCGGAAUUAUUGGGCGUAAAGAGCUCGUAGGUGGCUUGUUGCGUCUGCCGUGAAAGCCCGUGGCUUAACUACGGGUCUGCGGUGGAUACGGGCAGGCUAGAGGCUGGUAGGGGCAAGCGGAAUUCCUGGUGUAGCGGUGAAAUGCGCAGAUAUCAGGAAGAACACCCGUGGCUAAGGCGGCUCUCUAGUACGGUACUGACGCUGAGACGCGAAAGCGUGGGGAGCGAACAGG